rnacentral:rRNA from 1 species
CCUACGGGAUGCACCAGUGGGGAAUAUUGCACAAUGGACGCAAGCCCGAUGCAGCCAUGCCGCGUGUAUGAAGAAGGCCUUCGGGUUGUAAAGUACUUUCAGCGGGGAGGAAGGCGAUAAGGUUAAUAACCUUGUCGAUUGACGUUACCCGCAGAAGAAGCACCGGCUAACUCCGUGCCAGCAGCCGCGGUAAUACGGAGGGUGCAAGCGUUAAUCGGAAUUACUGGGCGUAAAGCGCACGCAGGCGGUCUGUCAAGUCGGAUGUGAGAUCCCCGGGCUCAACCUGGGAACUGCAUUCGAAACUGGCAGGCUGGAGUCUUGUAGAGGGGGGUAGAAUUCCAGGUGUAGCGGUGAAAUGCGUAGAGAUCUGGAGGAAUACCGGUGGCGAAGGCGGCCCCCUGGAUAAAGACUGACGCUCAGGUGCGAAAGCGCGGGGAGCAAACAGGAUUAGAUACCCCGGUAGUC